rnacentral:rRNA from 1 species
GAUGAACGCUGGCGGCGUGCCUAAUACGUGCAAGUCGAGCGAACGGACGAGAAGCUUGCUUCUCUGAUGUUAGCGGCGGUCGGGUGAGUAACACGUGGAUAACCUACCUAUAAGACUGGGAUAACUUCGGGAAACCGGAGCUAAUACCGGAUAAUAUUUUGAACCGCAUGGUUCAAAAGUGAAAGACGGUCUUGCUGUCACUUAUAGAUGGAUCCGCGCUGCAUUAGCUAGUUGGUAAGGUAACGGCUUACCAAGGCAACGAUGCAUAGCCGACCUGAGAGGGUGAUCGGCCACACUGGAACUGAGACACGGUCCAGACUCCUACGGGAGGCAGCAGUAGGGAAUCUUCCGCAAUGGGCGAAAGCCUGACGGAGCAACGCCGCGUGAGUGAUGAAGGUCUUCGGAUCGUAAAACUCUGUUAUUAGGGAAGAACAUAUGUGUAAGUAACUGUGCACAUCUUGACGGUACCUAAUCAGAAAGCCACGGCUAACUACGUG